GCUCCCGUAGCUUAGUCGGGAAAACACUCGGCUAUGGUGAGGUAGGAUUCGGGUUCGAGUCCCGGUGAAGGCA